GUCCCUGUAGCGCAAUGGAUAGUGCAUUGGACUUCUAAUCCAAAGGUCGUAAGUUCGAAUCCCACCUGGGAUG